UCAGGGAUAGCCAUUGGAAACGAUGAUUAAUACCGGAUAGUCUCUUCGGAGUAAAGAUUUAUCGCUUGGGGAGGAGCCUGCGUUCUAUCAGCUUGUUGGUAGUGUAAUAGACUACCAAGGCUAUGACGGAUAACUGGUCUGAGAGGAUGAUCAGUCACAAUGGAACUGAGACACGGUCCAUACUCCUACGGGAGGCAGCAGUGAGGAAUCUUCCACAAUGGGCGAAAGUCUGAUGGAGCGACACCGCGUGAAGGAUGAAGGUCUAACGAUUGUAAACUUCUUUUCUGAGGGAGCAUAAUGAGAGUACCUCAGGAAUAAGGGACGGCUAAUUACGUGCCAGCAGCCGCGGUAAUACGUAAGUCCCAAGCGUUACCCGGAAUUAUUGGGUGUAAAGGGUCCGUAGGCGGACUCAUAAGUUGGAUAUGAAAGACCGAGGCUCAACCUCGAGUUUGUAUCCAAAACUGUGAGUCUAGAAUUAGGGAGAGGUUAGCGGAAUUCUUAGUGUAGGGGUGCAAUCCGUAGAUACUAAGAAGAACACCAAAAGCGAAGGCAGCUAACUGGAACUAUAUUGACGCUGAGGGACGAAAGCGUGGGGAGCGAAGAGGAUUAGAUACCCUCGUAGUCCACGCCCUAAACGAUGAUAACUAAGUGUUGGGAAUUGUCCCAGUGCUGUAGCAAACGCGUUAAGUUAUCCACCUGAGGAGUACGGUCGCAAGAUUAAAACUCAAAGGAAUAGACGGGGACCCACACAAGCAGUGGAUCACGUGGUUUAAUUCGACAAUAAACGGGGAAUCUUACCCAGACUUGACAUCCUAAGAAUCUUUGAGAAAUCAGAGAGUGCCUUUACGGGAACUUAGUGACAGGUGCUGCAUGGUUGUCGUCAGCUCGUGCCUUGAGGUGUUCGGUUAAGUCCGUUAACGAGCGCAACCCAUGUCUUUAGUUAUUAUGUCUAAAGAGACUGCCUUGGUUAACAAGGAGGAAGGUGUGGAUGACGUCAAAUCAGCAUGGCUUUUACGUCUGGGGCUACACACAUGAUACAAUGGUAUGUACAAAGAGCAGCAAAAUUGCGAAAUUGAGCUAAUCUUCAAAGCAUAUCUCAGUCCGGAUUGGAGUCUGAAACUCGACUCCAUGAAGUUGGAAUUGCUAGUAAUCGUGAAUCAGAUAUGUCACGGUGAAUGUGUUCCUGGGUCUUGU
rnacentral:rRNA from 1 species